UACUUGGUUGAUCCUGCCAAGGAAGCACACUUAGGUCAUAGAUUAAGCCAUGCAAGUGUUAGUUCAGGUAACGAAACUGCGAAUAGCUCAUUAAUACGCUCAGAAUCUAUUUGGCGGCGACCAACAGGUCUUAAAUGGAUAGCAGCAGCAACUCUGGUGCUAAUACAUGCGAUUGUUUCUCCAGAUGUGAAUUAUGGAGGAAAAGUUGACCUCAUCAGAGGCACGCCAUUCGACUGAGUGACCUAUCAGCUUGUACUUAGGGUCUUUACCUAGGUAGGCUAUCACGGGUAACGGGCGGUUACCGUCGGACUGCCGGAGAAGGCGCCUGAGAGAUAGCGACUAUAUCCACGGGUAGCAGCAGGCGCGAAACUUUCCCACUCGAGACUUUCGGAGGAGGUAAUGACCAGUUCCAUUGGUGCCUUUUGGUACUGUGGAUAGGGGUACGGUUUUCCACCGUACCGAAACCUAGCAGAGGGCCAGUCUGGUGCCAGCAGCUGCGGUAAUUCCAGCUCUGCGAGUUUGCUCCCAUAUUGUUGCAGUUAAAACGCCCGUAGUCUGAAUUGGCCAGCAAUGGUCGUACGUAUUUUU
rnacentral:ncRNA from 1 species